rnacentral:rRNA from 1 species
GAUGAACGCUAGCUACAGGCUUAACACAUGCAAGUCGAGGGGCAGCAUUAGGUAGCAAUACUGAGAUGGCGACCGGCGCACGGGUGCGUAACGCGUAUCCAACUUUCCCGUUACUCUGGGCUAGCCUUCCGAAAGGGAGAUUAAUACCGGAUGGUGUUUGAAUUCCGCAUGUUAUUCAAACUAAAGAUUUAUCGGUAACGGAUAGGGAUGCGUGACAUUAGGUAGAUGGCGGGGUAACGGCCCACCAUGCCCACGAUGUCUAGGGGUUCUGAGAGGAAGGUCCCCCACACUGGAACUGAGACACGGUCCAGACUCCUACGGGAGGCAGCAGUGAGGAAUAUUGGUCAAUGGUCGGAAGACUGAACCAGCCAAGUAGCGUGAAGGAUGAAGGUUCUAUGGAUUGUAAACUUCUUUUAUAUAGGAAUAAAACCUCCCACGUGUGGGAGCUUGUAUGUACUAUAUGAAUAAGCAUCGGCUAACUCCGUGCCAGCCGCCGCCGUAACAC